rnacentral:rRNA from 1 species
UACGUAGGGUGCGAGCGUUGUCCGGAAUUACUGGGCGUAAAGAGCUCGUAGGUGGUUUGUCACGUCGUCUGUGAAAUUCCGGGGCUUAACCUCGGGCGUGCAGGCGAUACGGGCAAUACUUGAGUGCUGUAGGGGAGACUGGAAUUCCUGGUGUAGCGGUGAAAUGCGCAGAUAUCAGGAGGAACACCAGUUGCGAAGGCGGCUCUCUGGACUGUAACUGACACUGAGGCGCGAAAGCGUGGGGAGCAAACAGGAUUAGAUA